rnacentral:rRNA from 1 species
GUGCCAGCAGCCGCGGUAAUACAGAGGGAGCAAGCGUUGUUCGGAAUUACUGGGCGUAAAGGGCGCGUAGGCGGCUUGGUCAGUCUUGUGUGAAAUCCCUCGGCUCAACUGAGGAACUGCACAGGAUACUACCUGGCUUGAGUUCGGGAGAGGGGCGCGGAAUUCCGGGUGUAGCGGUGAAAUGCGUAGAUAUCCGGAGGAACACCGGUGGCGAAGGCGGCGCCCUGGACCGAUACUGACGCUGAGGCGCGAAAGCUAGGGGAGCAAACGGGAUUAGAUACCCCGGUAGUCCUAGCCCUAAACGAUGAGCGCUUGGUGUAGGAGGUUCUAACCCCUCCUGUGCCGAAGCUAACGCAUUAAGCGCUCCGCCUGGGGAGUACGGUCGCAAGGCUGAA